rnacentral:lncRNA from 1 species
AAACAAGGAAAUAAAAGAGGAAGAACUAUAUUUCCUUCUUCUGGGGAGAAGGGAGGGUACUUUUUAAAGUCUUUCUAGCCUAGCUGGAAGUCCAUUCCAACUGGCUGUGGGCACUUGCCUCCACAUUAAUGUAUCUGUAAAAGCACAGAUAUUAAGUCUAGUGAAAGGUUCAGGUUAAAGCACAGAAACACAUUCAACAAGAGGAGGAAGCAAGAAAAUGGCAGCAGUGUCCCUCUGAAAAGCCAGGUGGGGUCAGAAGGGCACAAGAAGGCACACCUAGGGCACCUCAGGCAUAUUUCUUUGAAACCACCCAAUUGGCCCAGGGGAUCUGAGUUAGUACACUAAGGGACCCGUCACUAGAAGCCAAGAUUAGGAGACAGCCCUCUCUAU